UAUAUGUGUGCUCUAAAUACAGUUUUAUAAUGAAAAGAGAAGGGAUUUUAGAGUCAGAUAAACCUAGAGUCACAUUCUGGCUUACCCACUUAUCCCUGUAACCCUACAGAAAUUACUUAAAAUUUGUAGGACUUAGUUUCUUAUUUGUAAAAUAGGAAUAUUAUUAUCAUUUAAACCUAUGAGCUUUAAGUAAGGUAAUGUAUAUACAGUGCAAUCAAUCAAUAUCUAUUUCUGCCUUUCCUUCGUGAUUUAUACAUACUGCCCAUUCUGAAAGGAAUACCUUUCUCCCUCAUCUCUCCAUGGAACACUCUUACUCUCCUUUAAGACCCAGUUAAAUGUCCCUUGCCACCUCUCCUUUAAUCUAACAAUUUUGCAUCUAGAUAUCUAUUUUAGUAAAAUAUUUGUACAAAUACACAAAGUGGUAUGUACAAUGAUAAUUACUGAACAACUUUAUAAUAGCAAAAAAAUUGGAAAUCAAAAUGUUCAUCAAUAGGUGACUGGUGAAAUGGUGGAAUAUAUGCAGCAGUUAAGAGAGUUACAUGUGCCGCCAUGGAAGGCUUCUGAAUACCUGAGAAAAAAUUGCAGAAAAGUAUGCACAGAUCACAUUUGUAUAUACAGUAUUUUUAUGUACUUUUAUUUAUGUAUAUUCAUAGACAAGUGUUUAGAAGGAUGUGUAUCAAGCCAUAUCUGGGGAGAAGAGUGGGAAGAGGAGGAUAUAUAAAGGAGCAAUAUGUUGUGUUUUGUUUUCAUAUGAGGAUAGAAUCAUUUAAUACUAGCAUAAUUUUUUUUUUUUUUUUGAGAUGGAGUCUUGUUCUGUCACCCAGGCUGGGGUACAAUAGUGCAAUCUUGGCUCACUGCAACCUCCGCCUCCCAGGUUCAAGCAAUUCUCCUGCCUCAGCCUCCCGAGUAACUGGGAUUACAGGCAUGUGCUACCAUGCCUGGCUAAUUUUUAUAUUUUUAGUAGAGGCAGGGUUUCACCAUGUUGGCCAGGCUGGUCUCAAACUCCUGACAUAAGGUGAUCCACCCACCUUGGCCUCCCAAAGUGCUGGGAUUACAGGCGUCAGCCACUGUGCCCAACCACUAGCGUAAUUUUAUAUGUAUAUUUAUUUAUUUUGAGACAGGGUCUCGCUCUGGCGACCAGACUGAAGUGCAGUGGCAUGAUCUCCCAGGCUCAAGUAAUCCUUCCACCUAAGCCUCCUUAGUAGCUGGGACUACAAGCGCUUGGCUGAUUUUUGUAUUACAGCAUAAUUUAAAUGAAAAGAUACCUUUUUCUAAUAUUUUCUAGAACUCAGAGUCAGUUGUUCUUUUCCAUUGCAGUGUCACUUGACUGGGCUGUGUGUGGUGAUUACUUGUGUCUGCCUUCCCUAGAAAUGGGUGAACUGAGCUGCAGAGGCUGUAUCCCCAGCAGGAAGCCCGGCAGUUUAGGAGCUUAAUAAAUGAUUGAUUUUUCAUGUUUGAGACAAAGUCUUGCUCUGUGGCCCAGGCUGGAGUGCAGUGGUGCAAUAAUGACUCACUGUAUCCUAGACCUCCCAGACUUAAGCAAGUCCUCCCACCUCAGCCUCACCGGUAGCCGGGACUACAUGUGUGUGCUACCAUGCUGGGUUUUUUUUUUUUCUUUUUUAGUAGAGAUGGGGGUAUCACUAUGUUGCCCAGGCUGAUCUCGAACCCCUGGGCUCAAGCAGUCCUCCUGCCUUGGCCUCCCAAAAUGCUGAGAUUAUAGGCGUGAGCCACCACGCCAGUCCCAGAGCUCAAUAAAUGAUUCUUUUUUUAAAAGACAGGGUCUCACUUUGUCACCCGGGCUGGAGUGCAGUGAUGUGAUCUUGGCUCACUGCAGUCUCGACCUCCUGGGCUCAAGUGAUCCUCCUGCCUCAGCCCUCCAAGUAGCUGGGACUACAGGUGUGUGCCACCAAGAGCAGCUAAUUUUUUCUACAGACAGAGUUUUGCCAUGUUGGCCAGGCUGGUCUUGAACUUCUGACCUCAAAAAGCUCAGCCUCCCGGUGCUAGGAUUACAGGCAAGAGCCACCGCGCCCCACCAAAUGAUUCUUGAAUAAAGGUGAAAGGAAACACUCUGUGGCCAGGAGCAGUAGCUCACACCUGUAAUUCCAACACUGUGGGAGGCCGAGGCAGGAGGAUCACUUGAGGCCAGGAGUUCGAGACCAGCCUGAGAAACAUAGCUAAAACCCCAUCUCUACAAAAACAAAACAAACAAAAUCAGCUGGGCCUGAUGGCCUCCGCCUGUAGUCCUAGCUACGUGCAGACUGAGGGGAGGAUCGCUUGAGCCAAGGAGUUUCAAGCUGCAGUGAGCUGUGAUUGCAGCACUGCAUUCCAGCCUGGGCGACAGAGCCAGACUCUGUUUCUUAAGAAAGAAAGAAAGAAAAAAAAGGAGAAAAGAAAAAAAAUUUGCAUAGAAAAGCACAUCUUAAACUACAGAGGACUUACCAACAGUUAAAAUAGGGACCACCAAGCUCACCGCAGAGCGCAGCCUCCGCGGACCCGAGGACCGCCCUGCGCGCAGUCUCGAGCAGCAACCAGGGUAGCACCAUUGCGGGCCGGCGGCCGCCGCGCUAGUGACCACUUCCUCCUACUCCUUCUCCUCCUGCUCCGGCCUCCUGGCGCCCUGCUCCAGGCUCUCCGGCGCCCUCCAGCCAGGCACCGGCCGAACCGGGUAGUGCCGCAAGGUGUAAUUACUGCUUUGAAACUUUAAAGGCAUUUGGAAAGAAACUACGGGUUAUGCUUACUUUUUUUGUUUUUGAUUAUUAUUUUGUAGGAGACACAAAGUUUAAAAAUAGAAAGCAAAAAGUGUGACACAUUUAAAGAGUUAAAGGAAAUAAACGUUUCCAAUUUACCUUA